rnacentral:rRNA from 1 species
CCUACGGGAGGCAGCAGUGAGGAAUAUUGGUCAAUGGGCGCGAGCCUGAACCAGCCAAGCCGCGUGAGGGAAGAAGGUCCUAUGUAUUGUAAACCUCUUUUGUCGGGGAGCAAAAGCCGCGACGCGUCGCCGUACGAGAGUACCCGAAGAAAAAGCAUCGGCUAACUCCGUGCCAGCAGCCGCGGUAAUACGGAGGAUGCGAGCGUUAUCCGGAUUUAUUGGGUUUAAAGGGUGCGCAGGCGGUAGAUUAAGUCAGCGGUAAAAUUGCGGGGCUCAACCCCGUCGAGCCGUUGAAACUGGGAGUCUUGAGUGGGUGAGAAGUAUGCGGAAUGCGUGGUGUAGCGGUGAAAUGCAUAGAUAUCGCGCAGAACUCCGAUGGCGAAGGCAGCAUACCGGCGCCCAACUGACGCUGAGGCACGAAAGUGUGGGUAUCGAACAGGAUUAGAUACCCUAGUAGUC